CGGGAUGACGUCAAAUCAUCUUGCCCCUUAUGACCUGGGCUACACACGUGCUACAAUGGACAGAACAAAGGGCAGCGAAACCGCGAGGUUAAGCCAAUCCCACAAAUCGGUUCUCAGUUCGGAUCGCAGUCUGCAACUCGACUGCGUGAAGCUGGAAUCGCUAGUAAUCGCGGAUCAGCAUGCCGCGGUGAAUACGUUCCCGGGCCUUGUACACACCGCCCGUCACACCACGAGAGUUUGUAACACCCGAAGUCGGUGAGGUAACCUUUAUGGAGCCAGCCGCCGAAGGGGGACG
rnacentral:rRNA from 1 species